rnacentral:tRNA from 1 species
AUUCUUUUAGUAUUAACCAGUACAACUGACUUCCAAUCAGUUAGCUCCGGCAAAACCCGGAAAAGAAUA